CAUGGCUCCAGCUCCUCCUAAUUCCCAGCAAUCAGGUGGGAUUCAGGCUGGUGAGAUCAGCCAACUCCUGCUUUGCUGAACUGCUGAGUGGAGUCAGUGCCUGGGGGAAUGCUCCAGGCUGAGGCAGCACCUUCUGCCCCCACCCUCCCUGCUGCAGCCCCAGAUAAAGAGUUCCAGGAACUGCCCAGCUGAGUUCCAGACCUCCAGCAUGAGGGAAGGCUCCCCAGCCCUCCCAAACAGGACAGCCCUGCCCCAUCCAUGGAGACCAGCCCCAAGAGCAGAACUGGGGGAAUUAAUCCAUGCCAGAACCUCCAGGGCUUUCCAGCCUGACCCAGCCAGUCUGUCCAAACAGGACAUGGAUAGCAAGCUGGGACAGAAAUGCUCUACCCAGUGCUGAUAGAGAGCGGUGGAAAGUGCCAUAUUCAAACACCACACCUGCCCAAGGAAUGCAGCGUCACCUGCGCUCAUUCCCUCAGCAAACCCCGCCAGAGCUGCCUGUGUUUACACUUCACAGGUCUCAAAAAGGUGCUUACAAGCUCGGGGGGCUCUGAGCUGGGCUGCCUCUUCCUCAGAGAGGAAAACCUCUGCUGACUCCGCACUGAAAACCUUCGGAAGGACUCUCUGCUCCGGGAUGCAAAGUGCCUGAAGGAAGAGGUUCUCUUGAAAGGAGUCCUGGUGCCACCUUCCCCUCCACUCCGCUCAUGAGCCACCGCAGUAGUGACUAAAUUUAGUGCUUCCUGCAAGGAUCUCCGCACUGUGCCCAUCCACUGGGUCAUGUGAGUUUGUGCCACUGUCAGUUUGUCUCCAAGGUAAUCCAUUUUUAAUUUUUUUUUUCCAGCAGAGAUGAAAUAUCAAUAUUCAGUAGCAAUUAAAAUAUAUUCUCUUUAACAA